GAUAAACGCUGACAGAAUGCUUAACACAUGCAAGUCGAUGAUGGGAAGCUAAGCCUAGCUUAGAAGAAGUCAUGGCGGACGGGUGAGUAACGUGUAAAGAACUUGCCCUCUAGACUGGGAUAACAGAUAGAAAUGUCUGAUAAUACCGGAGUAUUAUUGUCUACAGUGGCAUCAUGGUAGGAAUAGAAAGGAUAAGAUUGCUAGAGGAGAGUCUUUCCAUCCUAUUAGCUAGUUGGUAAGGUAGCGGCUUACCAAGGCGAUGAUAGGUAGCCGGCCUGAGAGGGUGAACGGCCACAAGGGGACUGAGAUACGGCCCUU
rnacentral:rRNA from 1 species